AAGUCGUAACAAGGUUUCCGUAGGUGAACCUGCGGAAGGAUCAUUAACACUAAUGAAAUCCAAAACCUUUUGGAUCAACCCAACCUUAGCGAACCGUUCGUAUUUUCCCUUGCCCAAUUUUACCAAACGCAAAAAACUCUGAUGUAAAGUGUCUGAUUCUUAUUCUCGUUUUUGGUUGUAACGACCAGCGGGAAUCAAAAUCUAACGCAAUACAACUCUUAACAACGGAUAUCUUGGCUCUC
rnacentral:misc_RNA from 1 species